rnacentral:tRNA from 1 species
UCUAAUAUGGCAGAUUAGUGCAAUGGGUUUAAGCCCCGUAUAUAAAGAAUUAUUUCUUUUAUUAGAA